UACGAAGGGGGCUAGCGUUGUUCGGAAUCACUGGGCGUAAAGCGCACGCAGGCGGAUCGUUAAGUCAGGGGUGAAAUGCCGAGGCUCAACCUCGGAACUGCCUUUGAUACUGGCGAUCUUAGAGUCCGGGAGAGGUGAGUGGAACUGCGAGUGUAGAGGUGAAAUUCGUAGAUAUUCGCAAGAACACCAGUGGCGAAGGCGGCUCACUGGCCCGAUACUGACGCUGAGGCACGAAAGCGUGGGGAGCAAACAGG
rnacentral:rRNA from 1 species